AACGCGAAGAACCUUACCCAGGCUUGACAUGCAGAGGAAGCUGCCAGAGAUGGCAGCGCCCUUCGGGGCCUUUGCACAGGUGCUGCAUGGCUGUCGUCAGCUCGUGCCGUGAGGUGUUGGGUUAAGUCCCGCAACGAGCGCAACCCUUAUCGUUAGUUGCCAACAGGUGAAGCUGGGAACUCUAGCGAGACUGCCUGGGUUAACCAGGAGGAAGGUGAGGAUGACGUCAAGUCCGCAUGGCCCUUAUGUCUGGGGCUACACACGUGCUACAAUGGCCGGUACAGAAGGCAGCGAAGCCGCGAGGCGAAGCAAAUCCCAAAAGCCGGCCCCAGUUCAGAUUGCAGUCUGCAACUCGACUGCAUGAAGACGGAAUUGCUAGUAAUGGCGAGUCAGCAACAUCGCCGUGAAUACGUUCCCGGGCCUUGUACACACCGGCUAC
rnacentral:rRNA from 1 species